rnacentral:rRNA from 1 species
GACGAACGCUGGCGGCGUGCCUAAUACAUGCAAGUUGAGCGCUGAAGGUUGGUACUUGUACCAACUGGAUGAGCAGCGAACGGGUGAGUAACGCGUGGGGAAUCUGCCUUUGAGCGGGGGACAACAUUUGGAAACGAAUGCUAAUACCGCAUAAAAACUUUAAACACAAGUUUUAAGUUUGAAAGAUGCAGUUGCAUCACUCAAAGAUGAUCCCGCGUUGUAUUAGCUAGUUGGUGAGGUAAAGGCUCACCAAGGCGAUGAUACAUAGCCGACCUGAGAGGGUGAUCGGCCACAUUGGGACUGAGACACGGCCCAAACUCCUACGGGAGGCAGCAGUAGGGAAUCUUCGGCAACGGACGAAAGUCUGACCGAGCAACGCCGCGUGAGUGAAGAAGGUUUUCGGAUCGUAAAACUCUGUUGGUAGAGAAGAACGUUGGUGAGAGUGGAAAGCUCAUCAAGUGACGGUAACUACCCAGAAAGGGACGGCUAACUACGU